CCUACGGGAGGCAGCAGUGAGGAAUAUUGGUCAAUGGACGAGAGUCUGAACCAGCCAAGUAGCGUGAAGGAUGACUGCCCUAUGGGUUGUAAACUUCUUUUAUAAAGGAAUAAAACGAGGCACGUGUGCCUUUUUGCAUGUACUUUAUGAUUAAGGAUCGGCUAACUCCGUGCCAGCAGCCGCGGUAAUACGGAGGAUCCGAGCGUUAUCCGGAUUUAUUGGGUUUAAAGGGAGCGUAGAUGGGUUGUAAGGUCAGUUGUGAAAGUUUGCGGCUCAACCGUAAAAGUGCAAUUGAUACUGGAAGUCUUGAGUACAGAUGAGGUAGGCGGAAUGCGUGGUGUAGCGGUGAAAUGCUUAGAUAUCACGAAGAACCCCGAUUGCGAAGGCAGCUUACUAAACUGUGACUGACAUUGAUGCUCGAAAGUGUGGGUAUCAAACAGGAUUAGAUACCCCAGUAGUC
rnacentral:rRNA from 1 species